rnacentral:lncRNA from 1 species
UUUUUUUUUUUUUUUUUUUUGGUAGAGAUGGGGUUUUGCCAUGUUGCCCAGGCUGGUCUGGAACUCCUGAGCUCAGGCGAUCCUCCUGUGUCAGCCUCCCAAAGUGUUGGGAUUACAGGCGUGAGCUACUGCACCUAGCCUGUUUGUUUAAUGCAUUUAUUUAUGUAGAGAUGGGGUCUCGCUAUGUUGCCCAGGGUGGUCUUAAACUCCUGACCCCAAGCAAUCCUCCCUCAGCCUCCCAAAGUGCUGGGAUUGUAGUGGUGAGCCACCACACCCUGGUUUUCUUUAUUAAUGGAGUAAUUAUGGGUUGGUCUUCUGCCUUUCGCACUUAGGGAUUCAUUUCUUUUAAAGACCAUGUGGGUGCCUGUGCUGGGUGUGUGCUGGACCCAGAGGUAGUCCAAGCACACUGUGCCCUCAGGGUCUGUGGGGCAGGAGGCAAGGUCUGCAAGCAGGUGUGAAAAGGGGCAGGGCAGGGGUCUGGAGGAGGCAGGAGGAGCCAGGGCACUGUCUCGGCCUUGGGCCAGGCCACCCUGUAUGGUCAGCAGAGAAGUGUAGGGGAAGGCAUGCUCAGGGCAUGGGCACUGGGCUGCUUCUGCUGUGGGGAUGCCAGCCAUAGACAUGCUGUGGCCAUACGGUGUCCACUCACUCCCGGGGGCCCUUCCAGAAUUUCCUCGAUUCAGUUUCUUCAUACUUAGGGUAUUUUAUAAAGACACGCACAAAUGUACAGACGCAGACAGAUAUAGAUCCAGAGAUGCAGAGACAGGCACACAUGGACACAGACACACGUACACAUACCCACACAGACUUAACACACACAGGCACACAGAGGCAGACACACGGACACACCCACACACCUCCCCCCGACACAGACACACAGGUAUUGACACACAGACAAACCCACACAUACACCCACACACACACACACACACAGGCAGACAUCGACACACACACCCCCCGCACGUACACAGACACAUAGGCAGACAUCGACACACACACACACACACACACACACCCCUGGCCUCUGCCCACUCCCCUGUGCCGCUGGAGGUUCACAGCACGCUCUGAUUGAAAGGAGAGCAGAGAAGAAGGAUGUGUGGUCUGCUGUGCGUCCUUUUCGGUUUCUGAAGUGCCCAGACUUGUGGCACAAAACACACAAAGAGGGUUAUUGGAAGAUGUAAAGCACAAUUAAGCUUUAGAUCAUUCAUUUCUAGAGUGUUGGGGUGUUGUUCUAACUGGGAUACUCUGAGGGUAAAAGGGGGAACACAGUAGCCGCCCCGCCAGGGUGACAGCGCAGCCUGGAGCUGUUGGCGUGAGGCAGUGCUCGUGACGUCCCCUCUGCCGUGUGUGACUCAGGAGUGGCCGUGGUGCAGACUCUUGGUCUCUGAUCCAGUGGGUCUGGGGGGAGCCCCAGAACCUGCAGUUAGGGAAGCCGCUCGACACUGGUCCACGUGAGGUGCUGAGUAUUUGAAGGACGCCAGAUGUCACAUGGCCUCAUUGAAACUGGUAUGAACUUUGUAUUUCUUUAGCCCACGUGUCUUGGGCUAGAGGCUCCUUGUGUGAUGAGAGGCCGCCAAGCUGGGUUUCUACAGGCGAUGCAUAGCACACCUGGAGAUGGGCGCCUCUGCGAUUGGGCACUCUCAGGUGUAAGCAGGUGGCACAGAAAGCUUCCCCAAGUGCACGGCGGUCAGCAUGGAUGCCCCUUAAUUCCUUUCUCAUGAAGGGUUUUGGUUUCUUCCUAACCCUGGACAACAGGGGAUUAUCAGGAGUUUUUGAUUGCCUUAUUUAUUUAUGUAAAUACAAGGACACAACAUUGAAAAUCAACGAACUUUACUUUCUAGAGCAGUUUUUUUUUUUUUUUUUUUUUGAGACGGAGUCUGGCUCUGCCGCCCAGGCUGGAGAGCAGUGGCCGGAUCUCAGCUCACUGCAAGCUCCGCCUCCCGGGUUCACGCCAUUCUCCUGCCUCAGCC